rnacentral:rRNA from 1 species
AACGAACGCUGGCGGCAGGCUUAACACAUGCAAGUCGAACGAGAUCUUCGGAUCUAGUGGCAGACGGGUGAGGAACACGUGGGAACAUCCCUUUCAGUUCGGAAUAACGUUGGGAAACUAACGCUAAUACCGGAUACGUCCUUCGGGAGAAAGAUUUAUCGCUGAAAGAUUGGCCCGCGUCUGAUUAGCUAGUUGGUGAGGUAAUGGCUCACCAAGGCUACGAUCAGUAGCUGAUCUGAGAGGAUGAUCAGCCACAUUGGGACCGAGACACGGCCCAAACUCCUACGGGAGGCAGCAGUGGGGAAUACUGGACAAUGGGCGCAAGCCUGAUCCAGCCAUGCCGCGUGAGUGAUGACGGCCUUCGGGUUGUAAAGCUCUUUUGUCCGGGAAGAUAAUGACUGUACCGGAAGAAUAAGCCCCGGCAAACUUCGUGCCAGCCGCCGCGGUAA